UGUGUGCCCAUCUUGGUAGAAAUUUAAAGUAAUGUUUCUUACUGGCAGCUGUCCUUAAUUUUUGGAAAAUUGAGUGGUGGACUGAGUUUACCUAUUCCCCCUUCAUAAGUGUUUUCCAAAAUAUAUUCCACAGAAUGUAUUAAUAGUAAAGGGUACUUGAGAUUAAAUGUAUUUGAGAACAUUGGACUAUACAAAGGUGAAGUUGAUUUUUCUACUGCAGGACACCCUAAACUUUUAUAUGAUAAUAAGUGUUGUUACUUUCCAAAUGCAAACAGUGUUUCUCAAAGUUUACUCUGGAAGUUCUUCAUUGAGUAUCCCUGGGCUCUAGUAUUCUGUGAAGCACAUGUCAGGAAAUGUGAAACUAGAGGCUGGUCUGAAGACCAGCAUCUCAAAAAUAUAGCUGAGGUUUCUUAGGAAGUUUUUAAUCCGGGAGAGAUGGGGUAGGAUGAAAGAGCAGUGGGAUUUACAUUCAACCAAAAAAGAAAAAUUUUAACUUGGAAAGCUUAAAAUAAUCAGUCAUUUUUAAGUAAGCUCUAAAGGCAAUCAACUUAUGGUAGCUAUGAGAAUUAAGAGCUGAAGUAAGCCACCCAGCAAUGAGAGUUAAUAAUUUGUAUUAGCUAUAAUUCACAAAGUAGACUUGAGGUAUAUGCUUUGGCUGUUUAGGUGAUAGUCUUUUAAAACAGGCCAUUUUAAAGAAAGUGCGGCAGCAGAGUCACUCCUUUAUCCUUGCACUUUUCACAGGGAAAUGAGCCUCUUGAACCCUCAUACAUAGUGGGGCAUGUGGCCUCAGCACCCAAAGAACAAAACCUGACUACUUUAUUCAAUGACGGGGAGAACAGUCAGGGUCUUAAAAAUGACUUUGUUCGGAAUAUUUUGUGGACAUUUGAAGAUAUACAUAUGUUAGUCGGCUCCAACAUGCCCAUAUUCGGAGGAGGCAGAUAUCCAGCAGUCAGCCUGCGUCUCAGGGAUAACAACAAACCAAUUAAUGUGCUAACCGGAAUUGACUAUUGGUUGGACAACUUGAUAUGCAAUGUACCAGAGCUUGUGAUGUGUUUUCAUGUAAAUGGAAUCGUACAGGUAAGCUACAGUGUGACUU